GGCGGCGUGCUUAACACAUGCAAGUCGAGCGGGAGCCUAGCGAAAGAUUUAUCUUUAGCGGAAAGCCCGGUUAGCGGCGAACGGGUGAGUAACGCGUGGGCAACCUGCCUUGUACAGGGGGAUAACACCGGGACAACCGGUGCUAAUACCGCAUAACACCAUAAGUUAGCAUUAACAUAUGGUCAAAGGAGAAAUCCGGUACGAUGAUGUGCCCGCGUCCGAUUAGCUAGUAGGUGAGGUAAUGGCUCACCUAGGCGACGAUCGGGUAGCCGAACUGAGAGGUUGAUCGGCCACAUUGGGACUGAGACACGGCCCAGACUCCUACGGGAGGCAGCAGUGGGGAAUAUUGCGCUAUGGGGGAAACCCUGACGCAGCAACGCCGCGUGAAGGAUGAAGGUUUUCGGAUCGUAAACUUCUUUGAUUGGGGAAGAAAAAAAAUGACGGUACCCAAAAAACAAGCCACCGGCUAACUACGUGCCAGCAGCCGCGGUAAUACAGAGGGUGCGAGCGUUGUCCGGAAUCACUGGGCGUAAAGGGCGCGUAGGCGGCCUGAUAAGUAGGGGGUGAAAUCCUGCGGCUUAACUGCAGGGUUGCCUCCUAGACUGUCUGGCUCGAGCACGGUAGAGGCAGAUGGAAUUCCCGGUGUAGCGGUGGAAUGCGUAGAGAUCGGGAAGAACAUCGGUGGCGAAGGCGGUCUGCUGGGCCGUUGCUGACGCUGAGGCGCGACAGCGUGGGGAGCAAACAGGAUUAGAUACCCUGGUAGUCCACGCCGUAAACGAUGGACACUAGGCGUCGGGGGGAGCGACCCUCCCGGUGCCGUCGCUAACGCAGUAAGUGUCCCGCCUGGGGAGUACGGCCGCAAGGCUGAAACUCAAAGGAAUUGACGGGGGCCCGCACAAGCCGGUGGAGCAUGUGGUUUAAUUCGAAGCAACGCGAAGAACCUUACCUGGGCUUGACAUGCACGGGAAAGCCGGUGGAAACAUCGGCCCCUCUUCGGAGUCCGUGCACAGGUGCUGCAUGGCUGUCGUCAGCUCGCGUCGUGAGAUGUUGGGUUAAGUCCCGCAACGAGCGCAACCCUCGUCCCUAGUUACCAGCGGGUCAUGCCGGGCACUCUAGGGAGACUGCCGGUGUCAAACCGGAGGAAGGUGGGGAUGACGUCAAGUCAUCAUGGCCCUUACGUCCAGGGCGGCACACGUGCUACAAUGGUCGGUACAGAGCGUCGCCAACUCGCGAGAGUGCGCCAAUCGCUAAAAGCCGAUCUAAGUUCGGAUUGUAGUCUGCAACUCGACUACAUGAAGCCGGAAUCGCUAGUAAUCGUGGAUCAGCCAUGCCACGGUGAAUACGUUCCCGGGCCUUGUACACACCGCCCGUCACGCCAUGG
rnacentral:rRNA from 1 species